CUGAGUGCCUAUUUUCGCAGUCUGACCACCUGUGAAGGGCUGUUUAAUGACGAUUUGGACUCCUCUGGGAGAUGAGGACACACCCACACCUGUUCCAUACUGCAGCCAUUGAUGGUGUUACGGCUCUGAGUCAGCUUUGGGCCAUCAGACGCACACACUGGAAAACCAGCACCUGGACUUCAUGCAGGAGAGACGGCCUCAGUGAUGAUGGACUCUGCAUCCUCUACUUUACCUCCUAACCUCUUUCUCUUUAACACACAAUUAAAAUCUUAGUGAGGAACUUGUACACAUUUGUACUUUCACUUGUUUUAUGAGUUAUUUUUAAGAAGAGUAAAGCUAUUCACAAAGUUUUUA